rnacentral:lncRNA from 1 species
GUUUUACCUCUCUUAUCUUUUUGAAAUCACUGAGAGGCAUCAAAUUAAUGCUUGAUCCUGAAUCAAUCAAAGCCUCUCCUAAAUCUACAUCAUUNUUGAAAUCACUGAGAGGCAUCAAAUUAAUGCUUGAUCCUGAAUCAAUCAAAGCCUCUCCUAAAUCUACAUCAUUGAUAAUGCAAGGAAGGGUCAAAGCUCCUGAAUCCUCUAGUUUUUGUGGAUGGUUCUUCUUCCGGGGUUUCACCCACUGCUCUUGAUUUUCUUCAUAGCCCAGAUCAAGUAACUUCCCCAGAUAGUACUUGAUCUUCUCAUCACAUUCAGAAGUUUGUGAAGAUGUUCUAGGAUUCAUGGGUGCCUCAUUAAGAAUCUUGCGGAGUGAUUCUUUAAUAUUUUCCUUCUCCUUUUCUCUUUGUGCUUUCUUCUCUUCGCCUUUCUUAUGCUCAGUAUUAAUUCUUUCCUCCUCUUCAUCCUCACUGCUUUCGAUCUCAAUUGUUUCCUCCUUUGGCUUCCUUUUUCCUCCUGUUGUAACAACUUUGCACU